AGCGAACGCUGGCGGCACGCCUAACACAUGCCAGUCGAACGAACCUUUCGGGGUUAGUGGCUGACUGGUGAGUAACACGUGGGAACGUUCCUUUAGGUUCGGAAUAACUCAGGGAAACUUGUGCUAAUACCGAAUGUGCCCUUCGGGGGAAAGAUUAAUCGCCUUUAGAGCGGCCCGCGGCUGAUUAGCUAGUUGGUUGAGGUAAUGGCUCACCAAGGCGACGAUCAGUAGCUGGUCUGAGAGGAUGAUCAGCCACAUUGGGACUGAGACACGGCCCAAACUCCUACGGGAGGCAGCAGUGGGGAAUCUUGCGCAAUGGGCGAAAGCCUGACGCAGCCAUGCCGCGUGAAUGAUGAAGGUCUUAGGAUUGUAAAAUUCUUUCACCGGGGACGAUAAUGACGGUACCCGGAGAAGAAGCCCCGGCUAACUUCGUG
rnacentral:rRNA from 1 species